UUAAUAUUCAUGAAUACGAAUGCUGCAGAUCAAAAUAAGUGGGAGGCAGCUCCUAGAUUUCUAGAUAACAAAAAAAGACUGGAGAUUGCCAGUACUCUUUGACUAAUGAAUUGUCAGAAAUUGGAAGACCCAGAGGAAGGGAGGGCAUGUUGCAGACAGUAAUGACAUGAGGAAGAAAAGGCAUAGGACCCAGACUUGGAUAGAUUCAGGAAGAUGUGAGUUUAAAUCUUUCCUCAGACACUUAAUGUCUAGUCACUUGAUCCCUCCGCCUCAGUUUCCUCUUUCCUCUUUCUCACAAAGUUAUUAUGAGGAAUAAAUAAGAUAACAUGUUUAAGUCACUUUGCAAACAAUGACCCAUAUAAAAGCUGGCUACUAUGAAAGUUUGCAUAAAAUGAAAAAAAGGACUUGAAAUGAUAUUUUUUAAUUUCAAAGAAAUUUUGAAUAAUUUAAUACAGUUUAUUUCAAGGUAAUAAUAUCAAUUCUGAAGUCAAAAUUCUUUUAUUUACAAAAUUGAAUGAAUCUUCAUUUCUGCAAGAGUGUUUGGCAUUUUAUCUGUUUAUUUGUGGCAAAAGUACUUUUAAAGAAAUUUACAAAUUUUGGUAAAGUUUAGUAUGCUAAAAAUAACAUAAAAAUUAAAAUAGUGGAUAAUUACAUAGUUUAUUUCCUUCUUUUUUUACCCCUCAGAUUCUACCUAUUUCUUCAAGUUUUACCCUUUUGGACCAAGCAGAACAAAACUAACCUGUCUUCAAUAUAAUUCUCUAACUACUAAAAGAGAAUUACCAUGUCUCUCUUAUGUCUUUUGUUCCUCAGGUUAAUUAAAUUUCCCCAAUUCCAUCCCGAGACCCUUCACUCUCUUGUUGCUCUCCUAUAGAUGUUCCCUAACUUAACAACGUUCCUCUGAAAAUGUAGAACCACAAACUAGACAAAAUUGCACAGAUGUGCUCUGACCAGAGUAUGCUAAGGCUGUUUGUUGCCUUCCUUGUCCUGGAUACUAUUUCUCUUGUUGCAACUUAAGUUUGUAUCAGGUUUUUCACUGUAAUAACACUGUUAACUCAUGGUAAGCUUGGAGUCUAUCAGAUAAACUAUUCUCUACCCACAGCAGAGUUUGAUCUAACAAUGGAACCUUGACAACACAUCGCUGAUAGGAAGGUUUGGGUUCAGAAUGUUCUUAAUAAGUCAUCCCUCUUCACUGAGAGGAACUUCAUCUAUAAAAUGAGGAAAAUGGACUGGAUGAUCCCUUAAGAGGCAGACUCUAGAUUGGAAGCUAAUCCAGGAAAGCCUGGAAGAACAAAAUCAGAAAGUGAUGAGUUGAUUCAUGGCUAUGGAUUAAAACUGAUAUUCUUGGAAUCCCAUGAAAGCUCCCAGAAUUGGUGGAAGGGGGGGGGACAUGUUAAGUCAAUAACUAUCCCUAGAUAAUGGAUUAGUGCUGAUCCUCCCCACACUAUCCUAUCAGCUCUGUGAUUCAUAAUAUAUGAAUUCAAAGGGAAUUCACAGAAUGAAACAAAGGACCUAACUGGGGAGCACCCUCCUUAUUAAAUUACCCUAAGAAUUCAA